AGAGCACCCUCUCCAUCCCUCCAUCUGCACAUGCAAGAUUCCACUCAACUAGUGGACCUAUACCACUGGAUCAAAGCUAAAAUGGCGGAAGCUGAUUGAAAGUGACGUCACCCCGGAAGUGUAUUUGAUACCUGUUAAUCUAGGGGGACGUGUCAACAUCUAUUUGAUGAGAACAGUUUUCGGCAGUGCCAUGCCGAAAUAGUUCGGACUCCUAACAAUACAAUUAUAUCUUAUGUUUUCACUCAUUUUGUAUUAAAUUUUAAUGUUAAAAUACU
rnacentral:sRNA from 1 species